ACGAAGAAGCUCUAGGUCCAAGACAGCAUUUUGCUCUCUGCCCCUCCCUCUGCUCCUUCCGCUCGCCACGACGACACACAGCGUCCUGGCCGGCUUGCUCGCCGCCGCGCACGUGCACCAAGUGGAAUGGUGCGCGUCGCUCCGUCGAGCUCGCCUUGCCGCGUCGUGCGUGUAGCCGAGGGCGGCUGCUGCACGCCAGCCAGCCGGCCACCCGGACGCGACGGCGGCAACAAGGGCACUUGUCCGCCACGCGGAUCUCGGCCGGGGAGCACGCAUCCACCUCCGUGGCAUUCCGGCGCAGCGCCUUGCUGAGGGAGUGGGACGCCUCGUCGUCUUCGUUCUCCGGCGGCACUGACCCACAUCGCCACCGGCGACCUCGUCCGCAUCCACCGGUCCCCUUGCCGUGCAGAUAUCAAAGAUGUGCAUGAGACCCCUUGCCUUCGAAGGUAGUCUGAUGGAUGAUAAUGAUCUGGGUAUUGAGUAGAGCGAGACGCCACUUGCUGCUACUGGGCUGCUAAACAUGGAAAUCAGAACAGCGUCGAGCCUGCUUGGAGCAAGGCAGGCAUGGAAGGCACAAUGGCCAUGAAGUGGGCUAGAUUCAUCUUGGAAUGAAAUGAACCUGUUGAUGUGUGUUAUGUAAAAUCAGGUUGUUUGCUUCUAGGAGUGUGGAUUGUGAUAUUGAGGAUUGCAGAGAGGGAGGGAGGGAAUGUCUAAUGUAUUUGUACAGCUAUACUAUGACUUGAAUAUGUAUUCGCCAUGAUUAAAAUUACAUAUUCUUUCUUUA